GGGCCGCCUCAGAUUUUCCGCCAAGCGGAGCAGGAGCCCGAGGAAGCCGCCCAGGAGUUUCCUUAGCCGACAGACAGGUGGGCUGGCUAGCAGGCUGCAGUUCUGGAUGGAGGGUGCAAGAGGUGCUGUCAUGGAAGAGAGCCGGCGAGCGAGGCAAGGCUUUUUUUUUACUCUUGACAGCAGAGGAUGUGUGGGCACUUUGGGGGGCGCAGGCAAGGCGAGGGCCACAAACUAUCAUCUGGGGGGCCGCAAAUGGCCCCCGGGCCACAUAUUUAAGACCCCUGCUCUAGGGCCUCCACCUGAGUUCUCUGUUCCCAAGUCCCUUCUGUGCCAUUUCCUCUGGUGACAGUUCUGCCAAACUGGCAUCUCCCUGGUCUGCCAGGGAGCUUACUGUACUCCCUUGGGUCGUAGGUGGAGGCCAGAUGGCCCGCCCGCAGGGUGACCUGUGCCCCUGUUGUCCUCACAAAUAAUCAUGUAGAAAAGGAAUUUCUACAGGGGUAGCUUGUGUGUAAUCUGUAACUCCUCUUCCACACAACUGUUAAAAGUACAUGAGACUUCUCCUCCAUUUAUACAUUCUGCCAAGUUGCUUAUGCUGUGAUUCACAUGAUUAAAGUUUUCCUCGUGCACUAUUGAGAAUUAAUCAUGGUUGGCACCUAGCUUAGUGAUAUUGUGCACAGCUCACAAAUCAGGACAUUUGCCUGCUGAGUUUUUUGUGGAGCAAAAGGGAAUGCCCCCAGAAGACCAGUUAGAGUCCCCCAUACAGAUUGUUUAAAAGAUAAUAUGCUCUCUAUCAUCUGCACAAAGUGUGGCAUAGGUGAAGUAAAGGUUCCCCUUGACAUUUAGUCCAAUCACUCUAGGGCUUGGUGCUCAUCCCUGUCUUCAAGUCAUAGAGCCAGACGGUUUCCGUGGUCACGUGGCCAGGGCAACUAGACAUGGAAUGCUGUUACCUUCCCGUCGAGGUGGUACCUAUUUAUCUACUCACAUUUUUACAUGCUUUUGAACUGCUAGGUUGGCAGGAGCUGGUACAAGUGACAGGAGCUGACUCCAUGGCAUGGAUUAAAUCUUACAACUGCUGGUCUUCUGAUCUUGCAGCACAGAGGCUUUUGCAGUUUAACCCACAGCACCACCACCGCACUGCAGAUAGGAGUCAGAUUUUGCAAGUCACUCAGGAAAUGAGAAGUUAAGCCACCAGGCCAGCAAACAGAAGAGCUACCUUAAUGACCUGUUCCAGCACGCCAGUAGAUGCCUGCAUUGUACAACCACUUGAAGCUUUCUGAAGUCAACACAUAUGGCCUCUGCUUGAUCGUAUUACUGUCAAAGGAAAGGUUAUCAAAAUGUCUGCUGUGCAAAUGGUGUAAUAUUACUAGCUGGCAAUGUAGGUGGUCUGCAAAGAUUGCUUGAUGAAGUCAAUGAAGUAAGUAAUUAACACCGCUUAGAAAUGAAUGUUAAGAAAAUCAAGUCCAUGGUAAUCAGUAAAACUCAAGCAGCCCAAGAA
rnacentral:lncRNA from 1 species